rnacentral:tRNA from 1 species
GCGCUGGUAGUGUAGUGGUUAGCAUCCGAGCUUUCCAAGCUUGGGACGUGGGUUCAAAUCCCGCCCGGCGCA